UCUUCUUCUUCUUCUUCUUCUCCACUGGAGCUUUCCUCUUCUUCAGAAGAAGAAGCAGCCGGUGGAUCUUCGAAGGGAGUUGAACGUUUUGGGGCCAUUGAUUUGAACGGAGACGGAGAUGGAGAAAGCUAGGGUUUUCAGGCAAAAAACGGUUCGAAGUUCGAACGGUUCGGAAAGGGGAGAUGUCACGAUGCUGAGAGAGAGAGAGAGAGGGAGAG
rnacentral:misc_RNA from 1 species